rnacentral:rRNA from 1 species
UACAGAGGUGCCAAGCGUUAGGCAGAAUCACUGGGCUUAAAGCGCGUGUAGGUGGACGGGUAAGUACCUUGUGAAAUCCCACGGCUCAACCGUGGAACUGCUGGGUAUACUGCCUGUCUUGAGGCACUCAGGGGCAGUCGGAACAAAUGGUGGAGCGGUGAAAUGCGUAGAUAUCAUUUGGAACGCCAAAGGUGAAAACAGACUGCUGGGAGUGUUCUGACACUGAGACGCGAAAGCCAGGGGAGCAAACGGG